CCGCGCCAGUGCGCGAGAGCGCCCCGGGGCGCAGCGGCGCGUGCGCACGAAGGUCUCGCGGUCUCCCGCGAGGGGGCCGAGGGGCGGGCGGAGGGCCCGGCCGGGGUAGUCCGAGGGUCAGCCGCGCAGAGGAGUAGGUUCCACGCCCAGCAUGGAGCCCAAUACAGAGCUUGAACUCAUGACACUGAGAUCAGGACCUGAGCUGAGAUCAAGAUUCGGACGCUUAAUCAACUAAGCAACCCAGGUGCCCCGAAAAUUCUUCUAACUGAACAUGUAUGAAGACUAAUUACUCUUAGAAACAGGAGGAGAAAACUUCAUAAGGCAUGAACAAAAGCUCCAUAAUCCUGAAGUUCAUAAAGAGUUUGGAGACUUCUGAUCAAUUACAUACAACUGGCUUUCAUAGACCAACAUCUUUAAAGGCCAUUUGGAAGCUUCAGACAGGUGCUGAUAUUUCUUGAUGGAUGAUGAAGAGAUUUCGAGCAAAGGUCAUGAGGACCCCCUGGAGAUCUUCACCGAUUGUUCUGUUAAUGAUAUCCAAACAAAUGAGUUUACCAACGAUUCCCCUCACAUGCUUAAAAACAAUCACCCUCUCAUUUGUGCCUGUCUGGUGGUGGAAUUUAAUGAGUAUUUUCAAUCUCACAAGGUGGCAAUCUUCAGGGAGAUAUGAAAGAUGAGGCUCCAUUUUAACUUGUCAACAAAGAGGAUUUGUGUAAUAAAUAUUUUUUAUUAAUCAACUUAGCAGAAUAUAAGAAUAGCUUCAGUCAUUCCUAGCAAAAGGCUACCACUGAGCUAGGACGAUAGUAUUAGCUCAUUUAAAAAAUUGUUGAAAUCAGCUUAUAAGAGAAUUGUUGCUAAAUAUAAUUCACACCUAACGAUUUUCUUGCCUACAGAGAUAUUUGCACCUCAGUAUUCUGGAGACUGGGGCUUAUUUUCUAUUUCAUGUAUACAAGCAGUUCCUGUUAUUUAUGAGUAUGCUCCAUCCAUGUUCCUAGGAGAAUGUGUCCCAUUCCUGAACAGCCAGCUUUAUAAAGCUUUAUAAAGCUGAACACACACUUGAAGGUUUCAGAGACAACACUGUGGCCAGUGAACAUUCCCAAACAACAGAUUGUUGUAAGUUUUAGCUUUGCAAAACUUUGCAAAACUGCAGGGUUUAUCUUCUAGUUAUUUUGUGAACUUUCUGUAUCAAAGGGGAAAAAAUGGAUUAAAUGAAUGGAUUGAUUUUUAAGAAUUGUUCUGUCUUGAGGGUAUGAAACUAAAGAGCUGCCUCUUAAGGUAACUGCAAAGAACUUUGGGUUACUUCCUUCCCUGUUGUUGCCUGUAAAAUAAGUCAUUUCGGAGUGUAAGGCUUAAAUGCUUUUGGAAUGGCUACCUUCCAGCCUGAUUGGGCUUUCCCAUAGGUCAGGCUGGGAGCAGAAAGCUUCCCAGGCCCCAGGCAGGAGACUGUUUGUCCUGCCACUGGCGGUGUGACUUUGGGGAGAAAGCUACUUAAGCUCUCUGGGUUCUUCAUUACUUUUUUUCUGAAAUGAAGGGAUUGGAUUGGAUUAAUGUUUCCAAACUUCUGGAGUUACAGUCCCCAGUCCAAGGACUGCCCACCCUUACUUCUCAUAGUUACUGAACAUUAGUAUCUAUUGCCUCUUUUAAGAGAAUAAUAGCCAAAGGCAACUUCAGUCAAUAAUUUUUAAAAGUGAUUUGUACUUUAUUGCCACAUAAUCAAUAUGUCAGUAUGUAUUGGACCCUGGUGCUUUUUUUUUUCCCUUAAAGAUUUUAUUUUAUUUUAUUUAUUUAUUUAUUUAUUUAUUUAUUUAUUUAUUUAUUUAUUUAACAGAGAGAGCCAGAGAGUACAAGCAGGGGGAGUGGCAGAGGGAGAAGGAGAAGCAGGCUCUCACCUGAGCAAGGAGCCCAAUGUGGGGCUUAAUUCCAGGACCCCAGGAUCAGACCUGAGCUGGAGAUAGUAGCUUAACCAACUGAGCCACCCAGGUGCCCUAGACCCUGGUGCUUCUUAAAACAGCAGAUUCCUAGGGUCUACCUCAGAUCAACAAAAUCAGAUUCUUUGGGUUUGGGAUCCAGGAAUGUAUAGUUUCACUGAAAUCCUCAGUUGAUUCAUAUAUAUGUGUGUGUGUGUGUAUGUGUGUGUGUGUGUGUAAAUGAAUCCACCACCAUAUGUGUGUGUAUAUAUAUAUAUGAUUGAGGCCCAUACUUAAAAAAAUUAGUGUGUUUGUGUGUGUGUGUAUGAUCCUGGGUCCACACAUGGAUUCAUGCCCCCCUUGUCAUCUCUCCUCAGCUUCCUGGGGUCCAUGGUCCCCAGGUUGUGAACCAAGAGGCUGGAUGGACUCUAAGUCCUCUACCCUAUUAAUUCAUUUCUAGAAUUUCCUUCAUUUUUCCUUCCUUGAAAUUUUUUCCUGAAUUCUGCUAGUCCCAGAAAUCUGCCAGUAUAAAUGGAGCCAGUAUGAAGUGAUCCCGGCAAAGCCACACCACAGAAUUCUGGUCUGUAAGGUCAACCCUCUUGGAGCCCUCCCCUUUGCUGAAGAGGUAGCUGACUAACAUCUUCGCCUGAUGUGAACUGAUGGUAACAAAGCCAAACAAAGCCCAGCCAGCUCAUGAAAAGCCUCUCCUUAAAGCUCUAGAGAAAACCAACACAAACAACACAAAGAAGAAAAGUUUAUAUUAGCUCAUCUUUUCUCGUUCAAUAUGAAUUCUAGAAAACAAAGACUCUGUCUGGUCAUUGUCUAUUAAAUCAUCUGUUCUCAACCUCCAUGUGCAUGUGUUAGUGCAAUUCCUGAUGUACUAACUGUAAUUCCACCCGUUUAUCGCACAGUCAAGAAAGUACAGCUGCAUGCAAGUAAGAAUUUUGGGGAUAAUCCCGAAUCCUACCUAAUACUCAGAAGAAGUAAAUUAAUAAAGUUGGUACAAACUUGCACAGGUAGUGAUGCAGUUCACAGAAGGAUGAGAAUCUCUUCCAUAAUAGGGUUCCCUACAUAAGGUGGCCAUAUGGUAUUGGAAAAGCACACCAGAUUCAGGGUCCAGAGACACAAGCUACUGUGUGAUACCGGUAAACCACAGCCCUGCUUGAAGACCCAGUUUCCUUUCUACACCAUGAGAGUCUGUUAAUCCUCAGGGUCCUUCCUUGCUUCAACAUUCUCUGGUUCUGUGGCUGCAGGAAGGGAUGAGAAGGAUGAUCUAGGAAAUAGUAGACAAGGCUCCAGAGUCUUCAAGAGACCCAUGUCAAUCAACAGUGCCCUUUCUGUAGGAUAUGUGAGUAGCAGUACCAUCUAGAAGGUACACCAUUAGGAGUAUUGCCACCAGCAAAGCUAGCCUGCGGGUCAAGGCAUUCCUGCUUCAAAUCUCAGGAGCAGGAUUAAGGAUGGUUGGGUGAGCUCCUCUUUGUCACCAGUCUAAUUAUUCAUUCUGUAGGCUUCAGCAUCAAACCGACUUUGCUGCUCCAUCAGUUUGAUGAUUAGGGAGUUACUUUUUCACGUAAGUCUCAGAAGUCUCCCAAAUUCCCUGAUGUUGUCUUCUUGCCUGUCUCCUCUGUGCCCAAGUACCCACUUGGAUAAGUCUUCCUGUGGCCCCUACUGUGGGAAAUCGGCCUCUGCCCUGUUAACAUUAAUUAUCCCUGUCUCACCUGUCAGUUCUAGGACACAAAUUCUUCUCCUGAAAGUCAGCCUCUGCUGGGUUCUGCUUCAUGCCGACAGGCUUUCUUCGUGCCAUCCCCUUGCUGGCCUGGGUCUGUAAAAGCAGCCUCUUUUUUGAGCUCCUAUAGUUGUGCUCCCCACAACUAACUCUCUGGAUAUCCUUUCACUCUUUGUAAUUGACCUUUCCUGAUGCUGUGAGCUGGUUGCUCCUUGGGAUGAUCUCCUGGCACCUGAACUCCCUGGGUAUGUGGUUCCCUGGCUGCUCUUGUCCCUCCACCUGAAGGGUCCUGUCCCUCUCAGCCUGAUUCCAAGCACAUGAGGGGUUGUGUCUUUCCAGUCCUGGCCCAGCUUGUUCUUUGCAGUUUACCUUUCAUGCCAGCCAGUACUGGUAAGGUAGGGUUCAUGUUUCUGUGUUCUCAUUUCUAGUUCUUGUACUUAACUAACCCAUCUGUCUGAAUUCCUGGGCUUAGACAUGUACUUGGACCUGGAACUUUACCUGCUUAAUUAGACUCUUAAUUCUGGAAAAUACAAAGUUCCUAUCCCCCAGCUUGCCAACUUUAAAUCCACUGACUGCUUGGUUCUCCCAGUCUCGGUAACUGCCUGGUGGCCUAUGUCCUGCCACAGCCCUGGGCAUAUUAACUCAUUUACUUAUUUACUGACUGUCCACCCACCACCACAUCAGCUUCAUGAGAGCAGGGACUUGUCUUUUGGUUCAGUGCUAUAUGCCUAACACUUAGAACUGUUCCUGGCACACUGAUAAAAUGCUUUUGAAUUUUCUGAUAGUGAGGGUAGGGCAGGGAGGGGGUUGAGGGAUAGAACAUCACUGGGAAGCAAAGGGUAGCUCAUUCCCUGCACAUGCACAGAGGUGUCCCUGGCUCUAUU